rnacentral:rRNA from 1 species
UUGUGCCUACGGGACGCAGCAGUGGGGAAUAUUGCACAAUGGGGGAAACCCUGAUGCAGCGACGCCGCGUGAGUGAAGAAGUAUUUCGGUAUGUAAAGCUCUAUCAGCAGGAACGAGACAAGACGGUACCUGACUAAGAAGCCCCGGCUAACUACGUGCCAGCAACCGCGGUAAUACGUAGGGGGCAAGCGUUGUCCGGAGUCACUGGGUGUAAAGGGAGCGUAGACGGCUGUGCAAGCCUGAAGUGAAAGGCGGGGGCCCAACCCCCGGACUGCUUUGGGAACUGUACGGCUGGAGUGCAGGAG